GAAAAAAACAAUUAAUAGUUGGGGCGCCACCUGGGCUUGUGCACUCUGAAAUAAAUCACAGAAUCAGAAUCAGUGAGGUUGGAAAAGAGCUCUGAGACCAUGGAGUCCAAUCUGUGACCGAACACCACCUUGUCAACCAGACAAGUGCCACAUCCAGCCUUUCCUUAAACACCUCGGGGAGGGUGACUCCACCACCUCCCUGGGCUGCCCAUUCCAGUGUCAAAUCACAUUUUCUGUGAAGAAAUUCCUCCUAAUGUCCGACCUAAACCUAUGCCGGCACAACUUAAGAGCAAGUCCUGUCACUCCAAGUGACAGGAGUGUCACUCCUGUCACCAAGGAGAAGAGGAUGACCCUCACCCGGCUACAAGCUCCUUUCAGGGAGCUGUAGAGAGAAUAAGCAAUGUCUUUUUCAGUAUGUUGAACUUUCCUGCUAACAAGCCUGACAAGAAAGCAUCACACAUCUUUGAAGAAAAGUGGAAAGAACAAAUCUCACUCUGGACAAGCCAGGAAGGAACUGGGACACCCCAGGACUCAGCCCACAGCCUCCCAUGCAAAGCAAACCAAAAGGCCUGUAUCCACAAAGCAUGACCUCAGGUUCUGCAGCCUUUUCUCUGCAGCCUCCAGCACACAGAAACAGACUGCCUCACUCAGCAUUGCCCAGUUCAUUUGAUUUAAUGAAAUGCUUGAUUUCUGACUUUGAUAAUCCACCUGCCCCCAACCUACAAGACAGGCAGAGACAGAAUUUCUGCUUCUACAUACCCCUCUGAAUUUAGUAAAUGUGAAUCAGUGGAUAGGACAGGGUGAGACUGAGGAGCACAACAGCUGGUGCUGCCCUGAGUGUGACAGCCUUGCAAACCUGAGGAAAAGGGGUGAUCCUCCCAUUUGACUGUAGAAAUAGGAGUUCUGAGAGUGCAGGCCUUCUGCAUGACUUCCUUGAAGAAUCUGGCUCAAACAGCAAAGUUGGCUGACUCUUAGGCCUACAGGUGAGCUUGUCUGGUACACUGUUAUUUCCUUUAAGAGCAUGGGCUUUUGUUUCAGUCUUGGGCUCCUAAAGCACGUUCAGAAGUGGGAAUGCAAGCUGCCCUUGAAUUCGGUCAGAGCACAGUCCAUCCUUGCAGUUGCAAUUUUGUGUGAGAAAUGUUACCUGUCCAUGUAGAUCAGGUACCACAUUUAUUUGUGCCUUGGAUGAGACAGGAUGGGAUGACCAAUACUUGUGCAUGCUGUUCAUACAUGAGGACAGAAGUUGUUUUAUAUUCUCUUGAACAAAAGCUGCAUGUAGGGAAAGGACUGUCAUUUUGUGCUGUGUCUUUAUAGCAUCUGACCUACAGGAUCCUGGCCCAUGACCAAAGUCUGUAGGCACCAAACUAAUAAUAUGUAAUGGUAAUGUAUGGCACUGGCAUAAGCUAAACAUAGUUAAUGGAGACCCAAGUUUAGUGGCUAGAUUUUCAACAUUACAGGCAAACAAGCCUCGGGGAUUUCAGUUUGAGUUAGACACAAUACCCCACUCUCCCUCCAUAACCUGGAAUUAGCUCUUAGGGAAAAAAACACUUGAAAAUCCCAACUUCUUGGAGACUUUGUUCAUUCCACAAAGAAAUCCAGAGUGUACUUGAUAAAAGUACUCACUUCAGUCUAAUAGAUUUAUAAAGAGAACUGCUGAAAACGGUUUUCCAGCUCUACAGGGAAAGAAUUCACUUUCCAAAAGUCAUUAGCAUCCAGCAGCUACUAGAAAUUUGACUGAAAGAUACUGAAUGUUAUCAGUUUUGAAAAUCCAGUUACCGCAUAUCCAAAAUGUGAAUGCUGAAACAGUAAGCUUGGUCUUUUAAAAAUUAUGGCCAAAGAAUGUGUGUGUGUGUGUAUAUAUAAAUACAUAUUUUUAAAUGCAUUUUGAGUUACCCAGAGCUAAACAGAAUCAAAAAUUGCUGAUACAUAAAUAUCGCUGUAAUGUAAAUAUAUUCACCAUUUAAUCCUGAUAAAUACUGGAUUGUAGACUUCUGAACAGAGACUGACAAUUAUUGGAAACCUUGUGGUCAUCUCAAGUAUACAGUGUCUCAAUUAAAAUAAAACCACAAAAUCCUUUUCCUUUUUUAAAAGUACCAUGUAGCAUAUAAUUUAUUUGGUUGGACUCUACAAAUAUACACAUUAUAUCACUCCAGAAGAACUUGAGAAGCACUUUUUUCUUGUUCCCAGGGUCUCUUGACUGUUGGUGAGACGUUGCAGUCAUAAUGAUAGAAUCGGUUUACAGUUGCAUAUUCUGCCAAAUAGCUCACAAAUUAUAUUUGGCAAACAACACUGACUCUGUUCACAAAGAUAAUGAUCUGAUGUUUUGUUUGUGUGGAAAGGAAAAUAUUAUUUUAGAGCUUGUGACAGAAUUUCAAAAACUUUGUGCGGUAUUCUCAACAUGUGAUACAUUUAAAAGUUACCACUCUAUUAAAUACAGAGUAACACAGAUUUUCAACUGAUCCCUGAAAAAGAAAAAAAAAAAAUCAAACAGAUGUUCAAUUAAAUACAUUGUGUCCAUUUUACUUCCUCCGUAUUUACCCAGACCUACACAACAGCUGGUGCAGAUAUUCAUGCACUACUUUUUACGUCUGACGGUGUCAAAACAUACAAAUGAGUUGCCAUGUAGGCUUCUCACCCCUAGAGGAUUUUGUGUUAUAGGAGUGCUUUCAGGAUGGAUUCUGAAAUCCAUAUUUCAGAAGAAUAUGGAUUCAGCAGAAUGGGAAAUGCUCCCUCAGACUUGACCCGCCUGAAGCAAGCAGCCAGCAGGCAAUCUGGAAAGGAAAUCAGCAGAACCUUGACAGUGCUUUUCUUUGGAUGGCUCUGAGGAGAAAAUGAAAGGAGCCCUGGAUUUGAACAGAAUCUGGAACUCCGCUCUGAGACAGAGACCUCUGAGGUGGUUUCCGUUCUAUAACCUGCAGUACAAACCUGCCUGGUAAAAGCUAAACUUCAGUGGGAAACCCACUGGGAAUUUGUUUUGCAUCAGGCCAAGGAUAGAGUGCACCAUAGCAGUAGUGUGCCCUGACUCAGAUGACACCCGCAGCCAGACUGUCAGCAGGCUCAGCUAGCAUGCCGUCAGUGUCCUGCUCUCCUCCACUGCUAGCACAGCAGUGUCCCAGCAGAGUUCAGUCUGGGAACCAGGUGCCAUUUCUUGAGUCUGGGAGAGGGCUUCUGCUCUGAUUUGUCACCGACAUAGUUUAUGAAAAAUCCUUUACUUAGGAUUUUUCCUCUCCUGAGAACUGAGAGGCCUCGGAACAAACUGUAAACAAUUCUUAUCUGCUGCUGUGGAAUGCAACGGGGAGAAAUCUGUGAUUGGCCCCGUCAGACUGUUUGCAAUUAAGAGCCUAUCACAGAACACCUGUUCGGCCCGUCUCGGGCUGAGAAGACUUCAGUUUACACAUUCUUUUCUAUUCUUAGCUUAACCUUGGUAGUGAAAUCUUUCUCUUUAUUCUUUUAGUAUAGUUUUUAUAUCUUAUAUAUCAUAUCAUAAUAAAUCAAGCCGUCUGAUGCAUGGAGUCAACUGUCUCGUCUCCUCCCUCAUCCUGGGACCCCAGAAAACCAUGUAACACUGAUUCUUUUCAGUGGGUGAAAUAUGCUGUGGGACUGCUGCAGGGAUGGUAGACGAGGCACUGCCCAAAAGAGAAGGGAAAGUUGGUUACACUAACUUCAGCAGAAAGGGUUGCCCUGACCCUUGGAAAGGGGCCAGACCCAGGGCCUUCAUCUUGAUAAUGACAGCAAACAAAAGCCCUGGAAUGACUGGGAUCAUAUCUGCCUCUGAUUACCUAGGAUGGUUUGGGGAACCUCCUCUGAAGUUUUCUGAAGGAGAUAAGCAUCAGCUGCUGUCCUUCUCCUUGUGUGAUCCGCAUCUUUGUGCAGCUUCUUUGACUGGACUUUUGGGAUGGAAAAACAAUAAUACAAUAAGAAACAUGGCAAUGACCAUCCCCAGAGAAGCAUCUUUUGUGGGAAAGGACAGGGAAUGUGGGACACUUGAUCUGAGCUUGAGAUAAGAACCAGCAGCUGUUGCUGAGGUUAGGCAGAACUGUGGCUGUGGUCUUGGGGAGGUUAUGGCCACUGGUCUAGAGCUGGCUAGGAACUUGCAGGCUCCCAGCUGUGAACAGGGCUCUUUCCUGCCCUUCAUGGAUGUUUUCCACUAGACAGACAAGAGCUGCUUGUACUGAGGCAGCAAAGUGCCUGAAUGUUUAUCAAAGGCCAUGACUGGUGGUAAAGACUGAAAUGCCCAGAAAUGAGAAUUGUAAAGAGGGAAGACUACUUCAUGUAGGGCUGUCUUGCCUCUUUUCCCCCUCUCUGUGAAGCCCUGCCUUUUCCCUUUAAGAGAAAAGAAGCUGGAAAUGUGGGAAGGACUGGAUUCAUGCAAUCUGGAGAUUGCAGAAGGAGCUAGCAGGGAAUAAUAGAAAGAUGCACAGGGUACAGACGUUUGAUUUUACAGAAAGACUGGAAGGAGGUGACACACAAACUUGGUUUUGGUCUCACUGGGUGGAGAUAGAUAGUAAAGCACACAGAGUCCAUGAGCAAGUUAAAGGGGAACUGGCAUGUGUGGCAUGUCUGGUUAAUAUGUCAGCCCCUAUAUCUAUCUGUCUUCUUCCUUCAAACUCACUAAAGCAAACACAAUGAGAUCUUUAAAGGGUUUAUCUUUAGGGGAAGUUUGCUAGGAA